GGUCUGGUGGUGUAGAGGUAGCACAUCCUUUUUCACUGGAUCACGCUUUCUGCCAGUUAAGAGGAAGUUCCCCGUUCAACUCGGGGCUAGGCCA